GUGGGGAAUCUUAGACAAUGGGGGCAACCCUGAUCUAGCCAUGCCGCGUGAGUGAUGAAGGCCUUAGGGUCGUAAAGCUCUUUCGCUGGGGAAGAUAAUGACGGUACCCAGUAAAGAAACCCCGGCUAACUCCGUGCCAGCAGCCGCGGUAAUACGGAGGGGGUUAGCGUUGUUCGGAAUUACUGGGCGUAAAGCGCGCGUAGGCGGAUUGGAAAGUUGGGGGUGAAAUCCCAGGGCUCAACCUUGGAACUGCCUUUGAAACUCCUGGUCUUGAGGUCGAGAGAGGUGAGUGGAAUUCCGAGUGUAGAGGUGAAAUUCGUAGAUAUUCGGAGGAACACCAGUGGCGAAGGCGGCUCACUGGCUCGAUACUGACGCUGAGGUGCGAAAGCGUGGGGAGCAAACAGGAUUAGAAACCCCUGUAGUCC
rnacentral:rRNA from 1 species